rnacentral:tRNA from 1 species
GACGAUAUAGUUUAAGUUAGAUACAUGCUCUGCAAGUGUGUGGUAGAAUAGUAUUUCUUGUCGUUG